rnacentral:rRNA from 1 species
AUUGAACGCUGGCGGCAGGCCUAACACAUGCAAGUCGAACGAGUGGCGGACGGGUGAGUAAUGUCUGGGAAACUGCCUGAUGGAGGGGGAUAACUAUUGGAAACGAUAGCUAAUACCGCAUACUGUGAGAUGGACCUGCGUUGUAUUAGCUAGUUGGUGAGGUAAAGGCUCACCAAGGCGACGAUACAUCGCCGACCUGAGAGGGGGACCCGCCACACUGGAACUGGGACACGGGCCAGACUCCUACGGGGGGCAGCAGUGGGGAAUAUUGCAAAAAGGGCGCAAGCCUGAUGCAGCCAUGCCGCGGGUAGUAAGAAGGCCUUCGGGUUGUAAAGUACUUGCAGCGGGGAGGCGUUACCCGCAGAAGAAGCACCGGCUAACUCCGUGCCAGCAGGCGCGGUAAUUC